GCGGACACUUUAGCAGGGCUGCACCGCACAAAGCAACCCAGCCCCAGAAGCAA
rnacentral:ncRNA from 1 species